rfam:Ictidomys tridecemlineatus contig106867, whole genome shotgun sequence.
GGGGCUGGGGCUCAGUGGUAGGGCGCUCGCCUGGCACGUGUGAGCCCUGGGUUCGACCCUCAGCACCA